UACGUAGGGUGCGAGCGUUAAUCGGAAUUACUGGGCGUAAAGCGUGCGCAGGCGGUUCGUUAAGUUCGUUGUGAAAGCCCCGGGCUCAACCUGGGAACUGCAAUGGAAACUGGCGGGCUUGAGUGUGGCAGAGGGGGGUGGAAUUCCGCGUGUAGCAGUGAAAUGCGUAGAGAUGCGGAGGAACACCGAUGGCGAAGGCAGCCCCCUGGGCCAGUACUGACGCUGAGGAGCGAAAGCGUGGGGAGCAAACAGG
rnacentral:rRNA from 1 species